rnacentral:rRNA from 1 species
UACGUAGGGUGCGAGCGUUAAUCGGAAUUACUGGGCGUAAAGUGUGCGCAGGUGGCCGCGCAAGUCGAGUGUGAAAUCCCCGAGCUUAACUUGGGAAUUGCGCUCGAAACUACGUGGCUCGAGUGUGGCAGAGGAAGGUGGAAUUCCACGUGUAGCAGUGAAAUGCGUAGAGAUGUGGAGGAACACCGAUGGCGAAGGCAGCCCCCUGGGCUAACACUGACGCUCAUGCACGAAAGCGUGGGGAGCAAACAGG